AUACGUAGGUGGCAAGCGUUGUCCGGAUUUACUGGGUGUAAAGAGCUCGUAGGUGGUUUGUCGCGUCGUCUGUGAAAUUCCGGGGCUUAACUCCGGGCGUGCAGGCGAUACGGGCAUAACUUGAGUACUGUAGGGGAGACUGGAAUUCCUGGUGUAGCGGUGAAAUGCGCAGAUAUCAGGAGGAACACCGGUGGCGAAGGCGGGUCUCUGGGCAGUAACUGACGCUGAGGAGCGAAAGCAUGGGUAGCGAACAGGAUUAGAUACCCUGGUAGUCCAUGCCGUAAACGGUGGGCGCUAGGUGUAGGGGUCUUCCACGACUUCUGUGCCGUAGCUAACGCAUUAAGCGCCCCGCCUGGGGAGUACGGCCGCAAGGCUAAAACUCAAAUGAAUUGACGGGG
rnacentral:rRNA from 1 species